GAUUUAAUAAUUAUUUUCUUAUUAAUUAAUUAAAAUAUUUUGAAAAAUUUAAUUUUAUUAUAGUAAAUUAGUACUGUGAAGGGUUUUUGAAAGAUUUUGAAAUAUUAAUUUUUUUAAAAGAAUUUUUAAUUUAAAGUACCUUGUGUAUCAGGGUUUAUUAAAAAUUUCUUAUUUAUUAUAAACUUCCCGAAUUAAUAAGAGCUAAUAGUUAAUUUGUUUUAAUGUAGAAAAAUUAUUCUUAAUUAAUUGUUAGCAAUGAAAUGUUAGUCGUUUAUUAAUAUAUCUGGUUUUCUAAGAAAAAAAUUUAAUUUUUUUAUUUUAUAUUGAUUGUUUUUUAUUAAUUUUCAAUUAAAAUAUAUUAUUAAUUAAGGGAUAAGCUUUAAUUAAAAUUACUAUAAAUAUUAAAUUUAUUUAAGGUUGUAGGAUUAGUAAUUUUCUUCAAUUUAAUUAUGUUAUAAUUUACUUAUAGGUAUGUUUAUUUAUUUAUUUUUAGUUUAUUUAUUGGAAUUUAUGAUUUAAAUUUAUUUUUUUAUUAAUAAUGAUUAAAUUAGUAUAUUAUAAUGUCUUAAUUAAUUUUAAAAUUUAUUUAUAGUUAAGGAAUUCGGCAAAUAAUAUCUUGCCUGUUUAUUAAAAACAUGUCCUUUUGAUUAUUAUUUAAGGUCUAAUCUGCUCAAUGAUUAAUUUAAAUAGCCGCGAUAUUUUGAUCGUGCGAAGGUAGCAUAAUCAUUAGCUUAUUGAUUGUAAGCUGGAAUGAAUGAUUGGACAAAGGUAUAUCUGUCUCAGUUAUAUUAAUAGAACUUUCUUUUAAGUUAGAAAGCUUAAAUUUUAUUAAAAGACGAGAAGACCCUAUAGAGUUUUAUUUAAUAUAAUUAUUUAAAUUUAGGUUUUAUAAUUUCAAAUAGUUUAUAUUUAAUUUAGUUGGGGUGACGAGUGAAUUUAUUAAACUUCAUUUAUUUUAAAAUAUAGGUUUAUAGGUUAUUGAUUUAUUUUUUAUAAAUGUAAGAUUAAAUUACCUUAGGGAUAACAGCGUUAUUCUUUUAGAGAGUUCAUAUCGAUAUAAGAGAUUGCGACCUCGAUGUUGGAUUAAAAUUAAAUUGGGGUGUAGUGGUUCCAAUGUUUAGUCUGUUCGACUAUUUAAAUUUUACAUGAUCUGAGUUUAGACCGGCGUGAGCCAGGUCGGUUUCUAUCUUUAAUUUUUUAAAAUGUUUUAGUACGAAAGGACCAAGCAUUUAAUUUAAUAUUUAAAAUUUGAAUAUUAUU
rnacentral:rRNA from 1 species